AGACGGGACCCGCACAAGCGGUGGAUGAUGUGGUUUAAUUCGAUGCAACGCGAAAACCUUACCCACCUUUGACAUGGCAGGAAUCCUGAAGAGAUUUGGGAGUGCUCGAAAGAGAACCUGCACACAGGUGCUGCAUGGCUAUCGUCAGCUCGUGUCGUGAGAUGUUGGGUUAAGUCCCGUAACGAGCGCAACCCUUGUCCAUAGUUGCCAGCACGUAAAGGUGGGAACUCUAUGGAGACUGCCGGUGACAAACCGGAGGAAGGUGGGGAUGACGUCAAGUCAUCAUGGUCCUUAUGGGCAGGGCUACACACGUACUACAAUGGUCGGUACAAAGGGCUGCCAACCCGCGAGGGGGAGCUAAUCCCACAAAGCCGAUCGUAGUCCGGAUCGCAGUCUGCAACUCGACUGCGUGAAGUCGGAAUCGCUAGUAAUCGUGGAUCAGCAUGUCACGGUGAAUACGUUCCCGGGUCUU
rnacentral:rRNA from 1 species